AGAAUCAACGCUGGCGGCGUGCCUAACACAUGCAAGUCGAACGAGAAAGUGGAGCAAUCCAUGAGUAAAGUGGCGACCGGGUGAGUAACACGUGACUAACCUACCUUCGAGUGGGGGAUAACCUCGGGAAACCGAGGCUAAUACAGCAUAACAUCGCAAGAUCAAAGCAGCAAUGCGCUGGAAGAGGGGGUCGCGGCUGAUUAGCUAGUUGGCGGGGUAACGCCCACCAAGGCGAAGAUCGGUA
rnacentral:rRNA from 1 species